rnacentral:rRNA from 1 species
AACGAACGCUGGCGGCAGGCUUAACACAUGCAAGUCGAACGCAUCCUUCGGGGUGAGUGGCAGACGGGUGAGUAACGCGUGGGAAUCUACCCAGUUCUGCGGAACAACAGUUGGAAACGACUGCUAAUACCGCAUACGCCCUACGGGGGAAAGAUUUAUCGGAAUUGGAUGAGCCCGCGUUGGAUUAGCUAGUUGGUGAGGUAAUGGCUCACCAAGGCGACGAUCCAUAGCUGGUCUGAGAGGAUGAUCAGCCACACUGGGACUGAGACACGGCCCAGACUCCUACGGGAGGCAGCAGUGGGGAAUAUUGGACAAUGGGCGCAAGCCUGAUCCAGCCAUGCCGCGUGAGUGAUGAAGGCCUUAGGGUUGUAAAGCUCUUUCAGUGGGGAAGAUAAUGACGGUACCCACAGAAGAAGCCCCGGCUAACUUCGUGCCAGCCGCCGCAGUAAGAC